CAGUAGUUGGCAGAAAUGAGCAGAUCGCGCGGAGUGUUCCAUAACAGAAGAACAGGAAGAACUACGUCAUUGAGCGACUCGUGUAUAUAUAUCACGAGGCGCACGAGGGGUAGUUCUUUCUUUUCUGAAGUGGCGAAGCGAGAAAUAUGCAUUCAGAGAAGUUUCGAUAAAAUAUACGACUGAUUUAUGAUCUUUUUCGGUGGCUUCACAAAUUUACGAUCUUUUACGAGGGCUUCACAAAUUUACGAUUUCAAAUGAAGGGGAUUGAGAUGACUUCAGCUUUGGACUUUCAGCACUUUUUUUUUUUUUUUUUUUUUUUUUUUUUUUUUUGUGAAUUUCAUAUUUGUAUGUUUUGUAUUAUUGUGACUCGAAGAAAUCUCAAAACCCAAUAAAAGUUGUUUAUUCA